AACGAACGCUGGCGGCAUGCCUAACACAUGCAAGUCGAACGAGACCUUCGGGUCUAGUGGCGCACGGGUGCGUAACGCGUGGGAACCUGCCCUUAGGUUCGGAAUAACUCCCCGAAAGGGGUUCUAAUACCGGAUAAUGUCUUCGGACCAAAGAUUUAUCGCCUUUGGAUGGGCCCGCGUUGGAUUAGCUAGUUGUUAGGGUAAAAGCCUACCAAGGCGACGAUCCAUAGCUGGUCUGAGAGGAUGAUCAGCCACACUGGGACUGAGACACGGCCCAGACUCCUACGGGAGGCAGCAGUGGGGAAUAUUGGACAAUGGGCGAAAGCAUGAUCCAGCAAUGCCGCGUGAGUGAUGAAGGCCUUAGGGUUGUAAAGCUCUUUUACACGGGAUGAUAAUGACAGUACCGGGAGAAUAAGCUCCGGCUAACUCCGUG
rnacentral:rRNA from 1 species